UGGAAUGGGAGUGGGACUCGAGAAAAUGAGAUGAAAGGGCCUAGCAGCAAACAUGCCAUUGUGGAACACUUGUGGGAGACUGAGCAAGACAUCUGGUGGUUAAACCAAAAAUCAUGCCAGUCUGCUUAUUAGGGCCUUUCAGGAUUAGAGAUAUGUUUAAGGAUGAAAGUCGUUAUUGAAGGAGGGAAUUCUUGGCUAUUACAAAUGAUGUCAAGAUUUUCUUGGCCUUUGGAAAGUGCAUUCUUUCCUCGAAGCCAAGCUCUAUUUUGAAUGAGUUAAGAUAGCUUGAAUUUUGUUAAAGAAAGAACCAAGCUAUAAACUGGGCAUGCAGCUUAAGGGAGGGGAAAGGAAUAGAUGAUCAGGAGGGACCCCUGAACUAGUGUUGAUCUACAUGACAGUCCACAAAUGUGAGUGAGCUGCAUCAUUCUUCCAUGAAGCUUUC